rnacentral:rRNA from 1 species
AUUGAACGCUGGCGGCAUGCCUUACACAUGCAAGUCGAACGGUAACGCGGGGGCAACCCUGGCGACGAGUGGCGAACGGGUGAGUAGCGCAUCGGAACGUGCCCAAUAGUGGGGGAUAGCUCGGCGAAAGCCGGAUUAAUACCGCAUACGACCCACGGGUGAAAGCGGGGGACCGCAAGGCCUCGCGCUAUUGGAGCGGCCGAUGCCCGAUUAGCUAGUUGGUGAGGUAAAGGCUCACCAAGGCGACGAUCGGUAGCUGGUCUGAGAGGACGACCAGCCACACUGGGACUGAGACACGGCCCAGACUCCUACGGGAGGCAGCAGUGGGGAAUUUUGGACAAUGGGGGAAACCCUGAUCCAGCCAUGCCGCGUGCGGGAAGAAGGCCUUCGGGUUGUAAACCGCUUUUGGCAGGAACGAAACGGCGCGGGCCAAUACCUCGCGCUAAUGACGGUACCUGCAGAAUAAGCACCGGCUAACUACGUGCCAGCCGCCGCCGUAAAAC